rnacentral:rRNA from 1 species
GACGAACGCUGGCGGCGUGCUUAACACAUGCAAGUCGAACGGUAAGGCCCUUCGGGGUACACGAGUGGCGAACGGGUGAGUAACACGUGGGUGAUCUGCCCUGCACUUCGGGAUAAGCCUGGGAAACUGGGUCUAAUACCGGAUAGGACUCCUGGCUUCAUGGUUGGGGGUGGAAAGCUUUUGCGGUGUGGGACGGGCCCGCGGCCUAUCAGCUUGUUGGUGGGGUAAUGGCCUACCAAGGCGACGACGGGUAGCCGGCCUGAGAGGGUGACCGGUCACCCUGGGACUGAGAUACGGCCCAGACUCCUACGGGAGGCAGCAGUGGGGAAUAUUGCACAAUGGGCGCAAGCCUGAUGCAGCGACGCCGCGUGAGGGAUGACGGCCUUCGGGUUGUAAACCUCUUUCAGCUAUGACGAAGCGCAAGUGACGGUAGUAGCAGAAGAAGGACCGGCCAACUACGUGCCAGCCGCCGCAGUAA